AACGAACGCUGGUGGUAUGCUUAACACAUGCAAGUCGAACGAACCCUUGGUGCUUGCACCAAGUAAGUUAGUGGCAAACGGGUGAGUAAUACAUAGGAAUCUACCUAGCAGUAAGGAAUAACUACGAGAAAUUGUAGCUAAUACCAUAUAUUACCGUGUUUACACGGGAAAGAUUUAUCGCUGUUAGAUGAGCCUGUGUCCCAUUAGCUUGUUGGUAGGGUAAUGGCCUACCAAGGCGAUGAUGGGUAGCUGGUCUGAGAGGAUGAUCAGCCACACUGGGACUGCGACACGGCCCAG
rnacentral:rRNA from 1 species